rnacentral:tRNA from 1 species
GCCUCUUUGGCUCAGGGGUAGAGCGCUUCACUCGUAUAGUCGAUGAAAUCAUGAAGCGGUCACUGGUUCGAAUCCAGUAAGAGGCA